rnacentral:rRNA from 1 species
GGGGAAUAUUGCACAAUGGGGGAAACCCUGAUGCAGCGACGCCGCGUGAGUGAAGAAGGUUUUCGGAUUGUAAGGCUCUGUUAGCAGGGAAGAGGAAGGACGGUACCUGCAGAGGAAGCCACGGCUAACUAC